GACGAACCGUACGAACGUUAUUCGGAAUCACUGGACUUAAAGGGUGCGUAGGCGGCGCGGAAAGUUGGGUGUGAAAUCCCUCGGCUCAACCGAGGAACUGCGUCCAAAACUGCCGUGCUCGAGGGAGACAGAGGUGAGCGGAACUUAGGGUGGAGCGGUGAAAUGCGUUGAUAUCCUAAGGAACACCGGUGGCGAAAGCGGCUCACUGGGUCUCUUCUGACGCUGAGGCACGAAAGCUAGGGUAGCGAACGGG
rnacentral:rRNA from 1 species